rnacentral:rRNA from 1 species
CGAACGUUAGCGGCGCGCCUAACACAUGCAAGUCGCACGAGAAAGGGGGCAACCCCCGGUACAGUGGCGCACGGGUGAGUAACACGUGGGUGAUCUGCCCAGAAGAAGGGGAUAACCUCUCGAAAGGGGGGCUAAUACCGCAUAGGACCACCGGGGCUUUGGCUCUGUGGUGAAAGGGGGCCUCUGUUUACAAGCUCCUGCUUCUGGAUGAGCCCGCGUCCCAUCAGCUAGUUGGUAGGGUAAUGGCCUACCAAGGCUACGACGGGUAGCUGGUCUAAGAGGAUGGCCAGCCACACUGGAACUGAGACACGGUCCAGACUCCUACGGGAGGCAGCAGUGGGGAAUCUUGCGCAAUGGGCGAAAGCCUGACGCAGCGACGCCGCGUGGGUGACGAAGGCCUUCGGGUUGUAAAGCCCUGUGGGGUAGAACGAACUGGCAUCGGGCUAAUAUCCCGGUGUCUUGACGGUACUGCCUUAGCAAGCAUCGGCUAACUCUGUGCCAGCAGCCGCGGUAAGACAGAGGAUGC